CCGAGGAACUUGUUCUGUCCCACAACUUACUUAUUAAAUGCAAUCGCCCUGGUCGAUCCCUCGGAGCCUCCCGAAAAGGCGCUGCAGAAGGCAAUGCGGUGCGUUAAAAACCAGAUGCUGAGGAGGAGGUGUCAGCGACCCCGAUAACACCGGAAACCCCCGAGCGCAAUUUUUAAAAUAAACAAAUAAAAAUAAAAAUUACAACUGAAA